rnacentral:rRNA from 1 species
GGCUCGAAAGCAUGGGUAGCGAACAGGAUUAGAUACCCUGGUAGUCCAUGCCGUAAACGAUGAUUACUAAGUGUUGGAGGGUUUCCGCCCUUCAGUGCUGCAGCUAACGCAUUAAGUAAUCCGCCUGGGGAGUACGACCGCAAGGUUGAAACUCAAAAGAAUUGACGGGGGCCCGCACAAGCGGUGGAGCAUGUGGUUUAAUUCGAAGCUACGCGAAGAACCUUACCAGGUCUUGACAUCUUCUGCCAACCUAAGAGAUUAGGCGUUCCCUUCGGGGACAGAAUGACAGGUGGUGCAUGGUUGUCGUCAGCUCGUGUCGUGAGAUGUUGGGUUAAGUCCCGCAACGAGCGCAACCCUUAUUACUAGUUGCCAGCAUUCAGUUGGGCACUCUAGUGAGACUGCCGGUGACAAACCGGAGGAAGGUGGGGACGACGUCAAAUCAUCAUGCCCCUUAUGACCUGGGCUACACACGUGCUACAAUGGAUGGUACAACGAGUCGCGAAACCGCGAGGUUUAGCUAAUCUCUUAAAACCAUUCUCAGUUCGGACUGUAGGCUGCAACUCGCCUACACGAAGUCGGAAUCGCUAGUAAUCGCGGAUCAGCAUGCCGCGGUGAAUACGUUCCCGGGCCUUGUACACACCGCCCGUCACACCAUGAGAGUUUGUAACACCCAAAGCC